ACCUACGGGGGGCAGCAGUAGGGAAUUUUCGUCAAUGGGCGCAAGCCUGAACGAGCAAUGCCGCGUGAACGAGGAAGGUCUUCGGAUCGUAAAGUACUGUCGAAGGGGAAAAAGAGCGGAGAGAGGAAAUGCUUUCUGAUUGAUAUUACCCUUCGAGGAAGUCACGGCUAACUACGUGCCAGCAGCCGCGGUAAUACGUAGGGGGCGAGCGUUAUCCGGAAUGAUUGGGCGUAAAGGGUGCGUAGGCGGCCUGCUAAGUCUGGAGUGAAAGGUACCGGCUCAACCGGUACAGGCUCUGGAAACUG
rnacentral:rRNA from 1 species